rnacentral:rRNA from 1 species
UACGGGGGGGGCAAGCGUUGUUCGGAAUUACUGGGCGUAAAGGGCUCGUAGGUGGCCAACUAAGUCAGACGUGAAAUCCCUCGGCUCAACCGGGGAACUGCGUCUGAUACUGGGUGGCUUGAAUCCGGGAGAGGGAUGCGGAAUUCCAGGUGUAGCGGUGAAAUGCGUAGAGAUCGGGAAGAACAUCAGUGGCGAAGGCGGCCUGCUGGGCUGUUGCUGACGCUGAGGCGCGACAGCGUGGGGAGCAAACAGG